CACACAUUGUCUGUGGUUAAAAUUUCUUAAAUUGAUUGCUGCUUAUGAAAAAGUCUUUGUCUUUAAUUAGUGAUUGCUUCACCUAGACAGUGAGCUCAGGGAGCUCUAAGACAACUUUAAUGAGCAGGUGGUGUUUGUCCUGAGCCCCCUGAACAAGCAAGACGUGAGCAGGACCAUCCAGACAGUAAAUACUGUGUGCAGCUGUGUCAUGACGAUAACUCCACCUCGCUUGGGCAUUUGGCCAACAUCCCUGGUGUGUGUGAAGCUUACCAACCAUGAGACAGCGCACGCCUGCACUUCACCUAAACUUAAAAGUUUACAUACACUAGGUGUGUAAACUAUUUUUGUUCUUCACCGAGUGUAAAGGCAGGCAAGCUCCAGGACUGGACAGCAGCCUCACCUACGGGUGGACACACCACGUAGGAACUUUCCCAGUUACCGAGAGACUCCUGGUGCCGGCUGCAGCGGGGCUUCCCAGCCGAAGUGUGGGCCUGGAUGGUGUUAAGGUUUUAUAAGAAAUAACCUAUGAAAAUAUCUUCAGUGUACAGAAAAGAAAAAAGGUCAAUUUAAAACAUUUUCACAACACUUACGGCAAUUUGUCUCCAUUACUGGGAAGGAAAGCUUUGCCCAAAUUUUUCUUUGAUUCUGCCAUUCUGUAGCGUCUCCUCAGCUGAACAGGAUUUGAGUAAGCUUCACCAUUGAAAAUCCUCACAAACCGAGGCUCAAAAUAACCUGUCUGCAGAGCUGAAAAUGCUUUGGUUCCCCCAGGCAAUGAGAGAGACUGGUUACUCCAGACUACAAUUCGGAGCUAGAGCCGAUGCCUAUUCAUAUAUACUACAAGUUAGUACUUAAGAGGAACAUCUCUCCCACUGAUUACAGACCAGGUAGGAAAAGUUAGAGUGCCUCCAGUUGCGUCUUGGAUCCCCAGCACCACAGAAGCGGUGGAAGUGUACCAGCCAGGGUUCUGGUGGACAUGUUCAUCACUGACACAACACCACAGCAGAAACGUUUGUAUUGAGAAGCCAGGAUUACUUUGCAUUACCACUUCAAAGCAGCUACCAAGGAUUAACCUCUGUAACCUUACUAAUUACAAAAAUUACCGUUGUUAAAGAAAAUGUAUUUUGAAUUCAGAAAUCUGCAGUGCUGAAGCUGCUAAAUGGCAGAACCAGGCCUUGGCCCUUGUAUAGCCCUACUCCAAGGCUGGUUUAAAACUUAGUCAAGUUAAUCAGUAGGAGAAUAGAGAAACAACAGAUGAUCAGUUUGUAUACACAGGUGCUCUCAGAAACACAGGUGUUUUUAGAAAUAUUAGUAUAUGUGAAUGGGAAUUGCUUGUUCAAAGACUAAGUGUGCUUGAAGGAUUGUGUAGAGUUAAAGCAGGCAGAAAGAAGCUCAUGAUCCAAGGAGGAUCCUGAAACCAAGGCAGAGACUGGAACCGAACAGAUCAAAUGGGACAGAGUCAGGUGCUGGAUUCGCAGAACUGACAAGACCAAAGGAAACUUCUAAAAACUUUGGACAUUGACUAAAGAUUUGAUAAAUGUAUAUAAGCUGUGCUGUAUCCCUUUGUUCUCUGCCACUCACUGAGGCAGUGGCCCAACUCUGAGUUGUGAUUAAAGCAAGCCUAGUGGU